rnacentral:misc_RNA from 1 species
GAACAUGUUCAGCUCAAAUUUAAACCUAUGAACUGAAAAAUGAUGAGAGAAAAAACCAGAUUAACAACAUCCAAAUAUUAUGCUAGAUAUAACUAUUUUAAUUCAUUUCAGUAUCACGGUUGAUUGAGCACCCAUAAUUGCUGUUUGUCAUCAUUCUGUCUAGUGCACUAGAGCUGUCCCCCAUACAGGAUCUUGCACAUGAAUCCACAAGCAAUGUGACGUAAACAGACCUUUCACCCAAAUGCAACAAUGUAAUCCUUAUUAAACAUUUGCUAAGCAAUAUCAAAUUAUUAAGACUUCCAAAUUUGAAAUAGAGGAAACUAGAAAAUGAUAGAUUCUCAAUUGCUCUCUACAUCCUGCAACAACUUCUCUACAAAAGAAUAAACUAACAGUCAUUAUUUAGAUAUGAAAAGAAAAAGAUCAUGUGUGCACACAUUCAAAGUUCACAUGCAUGCACCCUUUUCUUUAACAAUU